rnacentral:rRNA from 1 species
GACGAACGCUGGCGGCGCGCUUAACACAUGCAAGUCGAGCGAGAACCAGUCCUUCGGGGCUGGGGACAGCGGCGAACGGGUGAGUAACACGUGGGUAAUCUGCCCUCGGCACCGGAAUAGCCCGGGGAAACCCGGAUUAAUGCCGGAUGGCCUCUCUGCCCUACGGGGCGGCGAGAAAAGGUAGCUUCGGCCUCCGGCCGAGGAUGAGCCCGCGGCCGAUUAGCUUGUUGGUGAGGUAACGGCUCACCAAGGCGACGAUCGGUAGCUGGUCUGAGAGGACGAUCAGCCACACUGGGACUGAGACACGGCCCAGACUCCUACGGGAGGCAGCAGUGGGGAAUCUUGCGCAAUGGGCGAAAGCCUGACGCAGCGACGCCGCGUGCGGGAAGAAGGCCUUCGGGUUGUAAACCGCUUUCAGGAGGGACGAAGCCACUCGGGUUAAUAGCCUAGAGGGUGACGGUACCUCCAGAAGAAGCCCCGGCUAACUACGUGCCAGCCGCCGCCGUAAAAC